rnacentral:rRNA from 1 species
UGACGGAGCAACGCCGCGUGAGUGAUGAAGGCUUUCGGGUCGUAAAACUCUGUUGUUAGGGAAGAACAAGUGCUAGUUGAAUAAGCUGGCACCUUGACGGUACCUAACCAGAAAGCCACGGCUAACUACGUGCCAGCAGCCGCGGUAAAUAG